rnacentral:lncRNA from 1 species
CACCCCACUGGCUCCUAUUUGCAGACCCCAUUUCAGUACGGUGCCCUCACUGAACACCUGCAGGAUGCACAGUCCGAUGAUGCAAUAAAAACAUUUUGCCCUGCUUGUCUCUUACAUUAAAUAAUUCUGGAUCUGUCUCUAAAUACAAAUAUAAGGAUGAACUGUAGGCUGUAUAAGCACAAACACCAUGGUGGUUCAUCUUCCAGCUCCAUGAUUUUCCUUGCCCAGACACAUCCUUCUAGACCCACCUCUACAUACUGGACUCUGCCUUCCAAACUUCCAGCAGAACCAGAUGCUGAAAUAGAGAGCAGAACUCCUGUGGACAUCAGAGAGUGCAGAACUGAGCCAUCAAGAAGUUGCAAGAAGGUCUGGAUAUAAUGACAGCCAGAAGCUUGGAGAAGAGAGCAAAAGAAAGCUCAAUCUGUACAUGCCGUGUCCUUAUGCUGUGCUAAGUAUCCACGAAGACCACUGCUGGAAACCGGAUAAAAGGCUAGAUGGACUUCUCCUCUAAUCUAUGGCCAUAUUUAUAUUUUUAUGAGCUGGCUUCUGUCCAGGCAGGUUGAGAGUCCUGCACUUCCUGGGAUUAUCCAGUGUCCCACUAGAAUACAACAGUCCACACAUUCAUUUACAGGUUUGAAGACCAGGAUGGUCUAGAAAAGUAACAAAUUUGAUUUUCUGAAUGGCCACGUCUGGCAUAAUUUACAUGGCAGAUCCAACAUCUAGAACAUUUCUUGCUCUAACUUGUAACAAAACACAUGGCAAGCAAAAGGCCAUUCUUUCUAAGGUGAGUCCUGAUAUUUGCUGUGAAACCCACUCACCAUCACCUGCUUUAGAGAUGGGGAAAAAAGGAAGAAUGGGAACAGUGCUGAACUGAUUAAAUCUGCACAUAAAUCCAUAUGUUAUGUUAUUGAAAAAGGAGGGAAGGAAGAAGAAAACAAGCAUUUGUAACAGGAUGAAAUCUGGGAAAAUGGGACCAAAAACUCUUCGUAAUUCAAAGCAGUUGUGGGAGUUCUGAGCCCAUAAGCCAUAAAUGACUAAAACAUGUCCCUGCAUUUUGGAUUAUGAAAAAGAUAUUAGGGUGGGUUUUUCUCUCUUUUUAAUGGGAUUUGAUGGAAUGCCAAAAUAUCAGAGUUUGGGUCUUUCUCUUUUUAUUUUUUAUUUUUUUAUUUUUUAAUGGCUCAACUUGCCAAAUGUGCUCAUGAAUGCUAUUUUGC